UACGGAGGGUGCAAGCGUUGUUCGGAUUUAUUGGGCGUAAAGCGCGUGUAGGCGGUCUUCUAAGUCUGAUGUGAAAGCCCUGGGCUCAACCCAGGAAGUGCAUUGGAUACUGGAAGACUUGAAUACGGGAGAGGGUAGUGGAAUUCCUAGUGUAGGAGUGAAAUCCGUAGAUAUUAGGAGGAACACCGGUGGCGAAGGCGGCUACCUGGACCGAUAUUGACGCUGAGACGCGAAAGCGUGGGGAGCAAACAGG
rnacentral:rRNA from 1 species